GACGAACGCUGGCGGCGUGCUUAACACAUGCAAGUCGAACGAGUGGCGAACGGGUGAGUAAUGCUUGGGAAUCUGGCUUAUGGAGGGGGAUAACGACGGGAAACUGUCGCUAAUACCGCGUACCAUAGGCUGAGCCCAAGUGGGAUUAGGUAGUUGGUGGGGUAAUGGCCUACCAAGCAGACGAUCUCUAGCUGGUCUGAGAGGAUGACCAGCCACACCGGGACUGAGACACGGCCCGGACUCCUACGGGAGGCAGCAGUGGGGAAUAUUGCGCAAUGGGGGCAACCCUGACGCAGCCAUGCCGCGUGUCUGAAGAAGGCCUUCGGGUUGUAAAGGACUUUUGUCAGGGAAGCGGUACCUGAAGAAUAAGCACCGGCUAACUACGUGCCAGCAGCCGCGGUAAUUC
rnacentral:rRNA from 1 species